rnacentral:rRNA from 1 species
UACGUAGGGUGCGAGCGUUGUCCGGAAUUAUUGGGCGUAAAGGGCUCGUAGGCGGUCUGUCGCGUCGGGAGUGAAAACUCAGGGCUUAACCCUGAGCCUGCUUCCGAUACGGGCAGACUAGAGGUAUGCAGGGGAGAGCGGAAUUCCUGGUGUAGCGGUGGAAUGCGCAGAUAUCAGGAGGAACACCGGUGGCGAAGGCUGUUCUCUGGGCAUUACCUGACGCUGAGGAGCGAAAGUGUGGGGAGCGAACAGG